CAGGAUAAACACCAUGAUGCUGCUAAUGAAAUCAUCGAGACCAUUCGGUGGGUGUGUGAGGAGAUCCCAGACCUCAAACUCGCCAUGGAAAACUACGUACUCAUUGACUACGACACAAAAUGCUUCGAGAGUAUGCAGAGACUUUGUGACAAGUACAACAGGGCCAUCGACAGCUUCCACCAGCUGGUGAGUCCGUAUGUGUGAAAGGCCUUCAGUGCUCUGUAGGUGAAACAUUAGUCACUGAAAGUGAAC